rnacentral:rRNA from 1 species
UGUAGUCUACAUGGUGGUCGAGUUUUCUUCGGGUAGCUGCGGAAAAUCUGGAGCUAAUACGUGCUUACGGGAGCAAUCCCAGUGCUCGUUAGAUACUGAACUAACCGCUUCGGCGCUUGGAUGAUUCAUAACGAUCGAUCGGAUCGCAUGCUUUUGCAGCGAUACACCAUUCGAGCAUCUGACCUAUUAGCUGAGGACGGUAAGGUAUUGGCUUACCGUGGCCACGAUGGGUAACGGAGAAUUAGGGUUCGAUUCCGGAGAGGGAGCCUGAGAAACGGCUACCACA